GAGCCGCGUCUGUGAUAGUUCGCCUUACUUGGCGGACGUGCGGCCUGUAGUAAAGAGUGAAGCCUGAGGUAGAUUACCCCUCCCAUCGAAUAUGUUAGUUUCCUGCUUACCGCGUAAACAACUCGCUCAAUAAUAUAGUCUGCCUGGCAACUGAUGAUGUUAGCCAAUCAGCUUGCCUUGCUUACUUUAACAUGAUUGGACACUGUAUCCGUAUAUAUACCGGUGCCACCCCUGGGAGGAAAAAGAAGCCAGGUAGAAGCCCGGAAGUAGAAGCCCAGAAGGAGCUGCGGAGAGCGGACCGGUAGAGGCUUUGGGGCAGGCUGAAGCACAAAAGGAGCCGCGGGGAGCGGACCAAAGGAGGCUUCAGCUGGGAGAACCCAGGGCAGGCUGUACGGAGAAGAAGAAUAAAAAGAAAAGGUUGUCCACUACCAGACUAUGUCGUGUGUCCUUCCUGCCGGCCGGGAGCGGACAUCGACAUUUGGAGGCCCGCCCGGGGACUGAUCACCCCCGCGACGUGGAAGUGGACAACGCUCCAGUACAGAGCUGCGAGACAGGAACCGGGACGAGAACCACUGUGGAUACCGGAGAGACUGACACGGGCAACAAAGCCCUCGACUGAAGAUCAGACCUGCCCUACCGGAGAUCCAUCACAGACCAACCAACAAGAUGAAUAGAAAUAGCGGUAGCCCGAAAUGGACAAAAAGAUCCUCAGGCAUAUGCAUGGCUCGCUCGCCUAGCCUACGACCGAGUCUAGGGACGGUGAGCUUCUCACACUCCUCCUCUAAAAAAUUAUGAUAUAGCAGGGUAGAUGAGUCAAUGACGGGUAAGAGCGUGCCUCCCCAGCAUGACUCGACCUAAGCCAGGCCCUACCCCAUCCUGCACGUAAGCCGCUGGACUGUUAGAUGCUGCCCAGGUCUAAAUUUCUCUCCGAGGGGAUUUCUUUACGGAGAGGAAAUGAGUGCAAGCUUGUGUGCAUCCAGGUUCCGUCCAGUUUGUGCCUGGCCCUAGAAAAAGGACGAGGGCCUCAGGGCCUUGGCAGACCAUGGCAUGGCCAACCAGGGUCUAAGCCAAGGACCUACGGUGGGCCUACGCAUAGGGCAUAAGCCUCUGCACCCAGUCCAGGAAGGGCUACGAUGCGCACAUUCAUAAAAAAUAAAAUAGGGGGAGAUGUUGGGAGCCGCGUCUGUGAUAGUUCGCCUUACUUGGCGGACGUGCGGCCUGUAGUAAAGAGUGAAGCCUGAGGUAGAUUACCCCUCCCAUCGAAUAUGUUAGUUUCCUGCUUACCGCGUAAACAACUCGCUCAAUAAUAUAGUCUGCCUGGCAACUGAUGAUGUUAGCCAAUCAGCUUGCCUUGCUUACUUUAACAUGAUUGGACACUGUAUCCGUAUAUAUACCGGUGCCACCCCUGGGAGGAAAAAGAAGCCAGGUAGAAGCCCGGAAGUAGAAGCCCAGAAGGAGCUGCGGAGAGCGGACCGGUAGAGGCUUUGGGGCAGGCUGAAGCACAAAAGGAGCCGCGGGGAGCGGACCAAAGGAGGCUUCAGCUGGGAGAACCCAGGGCAGGCUGUACGGAGAAGGAAAAUAAAAAGAAAAGGUUGUCCACUACCA